rnacentral:rRNA from 1 species
UUAAGUGACUAAGCGUACACGGUGGAUGCCUGGGCAGUCAGAGGCGAUGAAGGACGUACUAACUUGCGAUAAGCGCAGAUAAGGCAGUAAGAGCCGUUUGAGUCUGCGAUUUCCGAAUGGGGAAACCCAACUGCAUAAGCAGUUACUGUUAACUGAAUACAUAGGUUAACAGAGCAAACCGGGGGAACUGAAACAUCUAAGUACCCCGAGGAGAAGAAAUCAACCGAGAUUCCGGUAGUAGCGGCGAGCGAACCUGGAUUAGCCCUUAAGCACUCGGUGAAGUAGGUGAACAAGCUGGAAAGCUUGGCGAUACAGGGUGAUAGCCCCGUAACCGACGCUUCAUCGAGCGUGAAAUCGAGUAGGGCGGGACACGUGAUAUCCUGUCUGAAUAUGGGGGGACCAUCCUCCAAGGCUAAAUACUCCUGACUGACCGAUAGUGAACCAGUACCGUGAGGGAAAGGCGAAAAGAACCCCUGUGAGGGGAGUGAAAUAGAACCUGAAACCGUGUACGUACAAGCAGUAGGAGCACCUUCGUGGUGUGACUGCGUACCUUUUGUAUAAUGGGUCAGCGACUUAUAUUCAGUGGCAAGGUUAACCGUAUAGGGGAGCCGUAGCGAAAGCGAGUCUUAACGUGGGCGCUCAGUCUCUGGAUAUAGACCCGAAACCGGGUGAUCUAGCCAUGGGCAGGUUGAAGGUUGAGUAACAUCAACUGGAGGACCGAACCGACUAAUGUUGAAAAAUUAGCGGAUGACUUGUGGCUAGGGGUGAAAGGCCAAUCAAACUCGGAGAUAGCUGGUUCUCCCCGAAAGCUAUUUAGGUAGCGCCUCGGACGAAUACUACUGGGGUAGAGCACUGUUAAGGCUAGGGGGUCAUCCCGACUUACCAACCCUUUGCAAACUCCGAAUACCAGUAAGUACUAUCCGGGAGACACACGGCGGGUGCUAACGUCCGUCGUGGAGAGGGAAACAACCCAGACCGCCAGCUAAGGUCCCAAAGUAUUGCUAAGUGGGAAACGAUGUGGGAAGGCUCAGACAGCUAGGAUGUUGGCUUAGAAGCAGCCAUCAUUUAAAGAAAGCGUAAUAGCUCACUAGUCGAGUCGGCCUGCGCGGAAGAUGUAACGGGGCUAAGCAAUACACCGAAGCUGCGGCAAUUCUUUUAGAUAUUGGGUAGGGGAGCGUUCUGUAAGCCGUUGAAGGUGAAUCGUAAGGUUUGCUGGAGGUAUCAGAAGUGCGAAUGCUGACAUGAGUAACGACAAAGGGGGUGAAAAACCUCCUCGCCGGAAGACCAAGGGUUCCUGUCCAACGUUAAUCGGGGCAGGGUGAGUCGACCCCUAAGGUGAGGCCGAAAGGCGUAAUCGAUGGGAAACGGGUUAAUAUUCCCGUACUUCUGACUAUUGCGAUGGAGGGACGGAGAAGGCUAGGUGGGCCAGGCGACGGUUGUCCUGGUUCAAGUGCGUAGGCUUGAGAGUUAGGUAAAUCCGGCUCUCUCUAAGGCUGAGACACGACGUCGAGCUGCUACGGCAGUGAAGUCAUUGAUGCCAUGCUUCCAGGAAAAGCCUCUAAGCUUCAGAUAGUCAGGAAUCGUACCCCAAACCGACACAGGUGGUCGGGUAGAGAAUACCAAGGCGCUUGAGAGAACUCGGGUGAAGGAACUAGGCAAAAUGGUACCGUAACUUCGGGAGAAGGUACGCUCUUGAUGGUGAAGUCCCUCGCGGAUGGAGCUGACGAGAGUCGCAGAUACCAGGUGGCUGCAACUGUUUAUUAAAAACACAGCACUGUGCAAAAUCGCAAGAUGACGUAUACGGUGUGACGCCUGCCCGGUGCCGGAAGGUUAAUUGAUGGGGUUAGCGCAAGCGAAGCUCUUGAUCGAAGCCCCGGUAAACGGCGGCCGUAACUAUAACGGUCCUAAGGUAGCGAAAUUCCUUGUCGGGUAAGUUCCGACCUGCACGAAUGGCGUAAUGAUGGCCACGCUGUCUCCACCCGAGACUCAGUGAAAUUGAAAUCGCUGUGAAGAUGCAGUGUACCCGCGGCUAGACGGAAAGACCCCGUGAACCUUUACUACAGCUUGGCACUGAACAUUGAACCUACAUGUGUAGGAUAGGUGGGAGGCUAUGAAGACGUGACGCCAGUUGCGUUGGAGCCGUCCUUGAAAUACCACCCUUGUAUGUUUGAUGUUCUAACUUAGACCCGUUAUCCGGGUUGAGGACAGUGCCUGGUGGGUAGUUUGACUGGGGCGGUCUCCUCCCAAAGAGUAACGGAGGAGCACGAAGGUGGGCUAAUCACGGUUGGACAUCGUGAGGUUAGUGCAAUGGCAUAAGCCCGCUUAACUGCGAGAAUGACGGUUCGAGCAGGUGCGAAAGCAGGUCAUAGUGAUCCGGUGGUUCUGUAUGGAAGGGCCAUCGCUCAACGGAUAAAAGGUACUCCGGGGAUAACAGGCUGAUACCGCCCAAGAGUUCAUAUCGACGGCGGUGUUUGGCACCUCGAUGUCGGCUCAUCACAUCCUGGGGCUGAAGUCGGUCCCAAGGGUAUGGCUGUUCGCCAUUUAAAGUGGUACGCGAGCUGGGUUUAGAACGUCGUGAGACAGUUC